CCUACGGGCGGCAGCAGUGGGGAAUAUUGCACAAUGGGGGAAACCCUGAUGCAGCGACGCCGCGUGAGUGAAGAAGGAUUUCGGGAUGUAAAGCUCUAUUAGCAGGGAAGAAAAGGACGGUACCUGAGUAAGAAGGCACGGCUAACUCCGUGCCAGCAGCCGCGGUAAUACGUAGGGGGCAAGCGUUAUCCGGAGUUACUGGGUGUAAAGGGAGCGUAGAGGGCAGCACAGGUCGGGAGUGAAAUGCCGGGGCUUAACCCCGGAACUGCUUUUGAAACUGUGCAGCUAGAGUGCAGGAGAGGUAAGUGGAAUUCCUGGUGUAGCGGUGAAAUGCGUAGAUAUUAGGCGGAACACCAGUGGCGAAGGCGGCUUACUGGACUGUAACUGACGUUGAGGCUCGAAAGCGUGGGGAGCAAACAGGAUUAGAUACCCCGGUAGUC
rnacentral:rRNA from 1 species